rnacentral:misc_RNA from 1 species
GUUGAUUUCUUGAAAUUCAGUCAUUUCGCUUUUCUCUCUGGACUAUUUCGCGUGUUGCUCGAGGUUCCCAAUUACUUGAAGAAAAUAUAUUCUCAAAAGCGAAGAAGAAGUCGUUCACUAUUUCAGCACGAAUGCCAAGAACCAGGUUGAGAAGCACAUUGGUGAUCGAGGUAACGUUGAUCCUCGAUAAACUUACGAAUGGAGCGUACAAUUUGGUUUUCUGGCAAUUGCGACGAACGAAACGCUACGAUAUUCUGUCGACGAAAGUAAUCAAACUUUUGUGUAUCAUUGUUCAACGAACCUGUAAACCACACUAUUUUACCGAUCAGGCCCACCAAGCCACCAUUAAAAAAAAAACGUAAGCUGACCACGAUACGAAAUUGCAUCGUAAAUAUAUGGAUGCAUAAUUUUGAAUAAUGAAGAAGUUGCGAUAGGGGCUGCACGUUCUCGAAUGAUUAUAUACAACUCGGGUACAUUGGUGAGCUCAUAUCGUUCUCAGCUUUCAUUCGAGAUUCAACGUCAUCAUGAAGUGGUUACGGUAUUCUGUAGUCAGACUUGCACUUCUGGCGUAUUCUUUUUCUUAUGUCAACACGGCUACGAGGGAGCAACUAGGGUCGAUUUUCCUCCGUCUCUACAAUGGAAGGAAUACGGAAGAUUAUGUCGAUGCGGAUAUUCACGAAGCAGAAACGCUCACACUCGAUUUAAAUGUUGACAAACCGAUGGUUGUUUAUGUUCAUGGUUUUACGGAAAGCGUAAACAGCACCAGCGUUCAAACCAUUGUCGAAGCAUAUCUCAAUCGUUCGGACCACAACAUAUUGGUGGUCGAUUGGAAUAUCAUAGCUCGGGAAAAUUACAUCCAGGUUGCUACAAACGUCGAAUCGGUUGGAACCACAGUCGCAAAGGCCUUAAAUGAUAUCGUUCAUGGAGGCUUUCCUGCUAAAAAUAUUCACGUUGUUGGUCACUCGAUGGGUGCUCAUGUUUCAGCGUACGUCGGACGAAAUGUUGAUUUUCCACUUCAACGUAUCACGGGUCUAGAUCCUGCGGGUCCGCUUUUCAACUUUAUCGGUCGCCAUCUCUCUUACGCGGAUGCACAAUUCGUCGAUAUAAUCCACACUGAUGCAGGUUUUUAUGGCAUAACUCGCAUAACGGGUACUGUAGAUUUUUUCCCGAACAAAGGACGGAGAAUUCAGCCCGGUUGUCCGACUGCAUUCACGCCUUACAGCGAAGAAGCCACCAUCGAUCUUGGAUUUUCUAUUCCGAAUCCUUGAUAAGCGAAAAAGCUUUUCUGGCAGUUAAGUGUUCGAACCUCAUGAGGAAAAGACGUAGCUCCCCAGCUCUCGUCAUGGGAUAUGCUGUUCCGAAAGAUGCAAAAGGAUCGUACUGCCUCGUUACCAGUCCCUCGGCACCCUAUGGCUUGGGGGAGGCGGGUGCCCGGGAGACUUAUCUGUGAAAAUUCCUUCCUGGAAAAAGAGCCAGUGGAAAGGGAAACCUACAUCCACGUUCCGUAAGAAGGGCUUAUGGGAAUUUGAGAUAAAACAUCCCUAUUUUUGGCUUCUUAGAACGCGAAUUUUUCACGUAGUCAAGAUAUUCUUGCCUGGGCAUUUUUUGGGAGUUGAUUGAACAAAAAAAAUAACAAAAGUAACUCUAGAACCGAAUAAAUGUAUGUUUAGAAAUAA